CAGGCGAUGGGUCAUCAAGUUAAUUGCUGGAAAGUGUUCAACUCUGCAAGAGAUCGUCACCAAAGAGUCUGAGCUGGUGGAGAAAAUAGCUGAGAGGUCAAAAAUGAAUUACCGUGCAUGGUAUCAUCGUUGCUGGUUGGUGACCUACAUGACAACAGAGUUGUCUCUACAUGAAUUAAAGAGAUCUAAAAACUGGGCUGGCUUGCAUGUUGCUGACCAUAGU